AGCGAACGCUGGCGGCAGGCUUAACACAUGCAAGUCGAACGGGCUUCUUCGGAAGUCAGUGGCAGACGGGUGAGUAACACGUGGGAACGUGCCCUUCGGUUCGGAAUAACUCAGGGAAACUUGAGCUAAUACCGGAUACGCCCUUUUGGGGAAAGGUUUACUGCCGAAGGAUCGGCCCGCGUCUGAUUAGCUUGUUGGUGGGGUAACGGCCUACCAAGGCGACGAUCAGUAGCUGGUCUGAGAGGAUGAUCAGCCACACUGGGACUGAGACACGGCCCAGACUCCUACGGGAGGCAGCAGUGGGGAAUAUUGGACAAUGGGCGCAAGCCUGAUCCAGCCAUGCCGCGUGAGUGAUGAAGGCCUUAGGGUUGUAAAGCUCUUUUGUCCGGGACGAUAAUGACGAUACCGGAAGAAUAAGCCCCGGCUAACUUCGUG
rnacentral:rRNA from 1 species